rnacentral:rRNA from 1 species
AUUGAACGCUGGCGGCAUGCCUUACACAUGCAAGUCGAACGUGAAAGCGGGGCAACCCGCAAGUAGAGUGGCGGACGGGUGAGUAAUACAUCGGAACGUGUCCAGUAAUGGGGGAUAACCUAGCGAAAGUUAGGCUAAUACCGCAUACGAUCUGCGGAUGGAAAGCGGGGGAUGCGGCACUAAAGGCUUUUGGCGAAGGUGGCCAAAGGUGAGUCAAGAGCUUUUAGUGCNGCACCUCGCGUUAUUGGAGCGGCUGAUGUCUGAUUAGCUAGUUGGUGAGGUAAAGGCUUACCAAGGCGACGAUCAGUAGCUGGUCUGAGAGGACGGCCAGCCACACUGGGACUGAGACACGGCCCAGACUCCUACGGGAGGCAGCAGU